GCAUAUAAUUGCACAGCCAUCUUCUAUACCUAAUCGGAGCUAUUUAUUAAAGUGAUAAUUGUCAGGAAUGCAAAGUGAUUUUAAAAUUUAGGGCAAAAUAGCUGAAUUGGAAAAAAAAAAAUCUCCAAAUCAGUUAGGCUUCCAGUUCAGAUACUUUGCUUUAACAUUUAAAAUUCACUUUACCUUCCUGACAAUUCCCUCUUAAGGAGAAAACCCUGUCAGUGGCAACAUUUCCCUCCCAUAGAGCUUUGCCUACUGCUAUAGGCUAGUGCCUGAUCCAUUCUUCACAUUGG